GUCUACAGCAAUAUCAUGCUGAACACACCUAACCUCAUCUGAUCUCAGGAGCUAAGCAGAGCUGGGUCUAGUUAGUACUUGAAUGAGGGACUGCCUGUGACUACCCAGUGCUGUAAACA
rnacentral:rRNA from 1 species